GGACGUAUUCCAGGGCCUCAAUGUCUUUCCUGUAGCCAGGGGCCCAAAACUGAACACAGUCCUGGAGGUGCAGCCUCACCAGUCCCAUGCUUGUUUGAAGCCCCAUAUCCAAAAUUUUAUUAUAGUAAUUCUGGAACACUUUAUGAUCUUUUAGCACUCUACGAUCUUUUAACCACUAUCCAUCAUAUUUUUAGAAGCCAUGUCAGUCCAGUGAAGUUCCCACCAACUGGAAUUCUGAAGAAAGGAAAAAAAGAAAGGCCCUGGAGAAGUGCAGACAAGUCAGUCUGCCCUCUGUGCAUGUUAGGAUUAUAGAGCAGAACCUGGAAACUGUGCUAAGGUACAUGGAAAAUAAGGAGGUGACAGCCACCAGUAAGCCAUCAGUAAGGCUAAAUUGUUCCUGAAAAAUUUGGUGGCCUUCUGCAAUGGGGUUACAACACUGGUGGAUAAGAGCAACUGAGGUCAUCUACCUGGACUUGUACAAAGUGUUUGACACUGUCCCACAAGACAUUCUUGUCUCUAAAUUGGAGAGAUGUGAAUUUUCUGGAUGGAGCACUCAGUGGAUAAAGAAUUGGAUGGAUGGUUGCGCUCAAAGUGUUGUGUUCAAUGUCCAGGUGGAGAUCAGUGAUUAAUAACAUCUGUCACGGGAUGGUAUUGGGACCAGCUCUGUUUAAAAUCUUUGCUGGCAACAUGAACAGUGUGAUUGAACACACCCUCAACACGUUUGCUGAUGACACCAAGCUGUGUGACACGGCACACUGGAGGGAAGGGAUGCCAUCCAUAAGGACCUUGAGAGGCUUGAGAGGUGGGCCUGUGCAAACUUCAUGGAGUUCAACAAGGCCAAGUGCAAGGUCUUGCCCCUGGCUCAGGGCAAUAUCAAGCACAAAUACAGGCUGAAUGGAGAAUAGAUUGAGUGCAUCCCUGAGGAGAAGGACUUAGAGGUGCUGGUUGAUGAGUAGCUCAGCAUGACCCAGCAGUGUGCAUUUGCAGCCCAGAAGGCCAACCAUAACCUGGGCUGCAUUGAAAGAAGUGUGGCCAGCAGGUUGAGGGAGGAGGUUCUCCUCCUCUGCUCUACUCUUGGGAGACCUUACCUGCAUCCAGCUCUUGGGUCCCCAGUGUAAGAAGGGCAUGGACCUGUUGGUGUGGGUCCAGAGGAAGAUGAUCAGAGAACUGGAGCAACUCUCCUGUGAAGUGAGACUGAGAGAGCUGAAGUUGUUCAGCCCAGAGAAGAGAAGGCUAUAGGGAGACCAUAUAGCAGCCUUCCAGUACCUAAGGGGGCCUACAGGAAAGCUGGAGAGGGGUUCUUAUCAGGGAGUGUAGAGGUAAGUUAAGGGACAAUGGCUUUAAACUGAAAGAAAGUAGAUGUAGAUUGGAUGUAAGCAAGACAUUCUUCAUUGUCAGGGUGGUGAGGCACUGGCACAGGCUGCCCAGAGAAACUGUUGCUGCCUCAUCCCUGUAGGUGUUUAAGGCCAGCUUGGAUGGAGCUUUGAGCAAUGUGGUCAAAGCAACAUGGAGGCAGAGGUAUUGGAACUAGGUGAUCUUUAAGGUCUCUUCCAACCCAAAUCAUUCUAUGGUUCUGUAUUAACGUAAGAAAAUCUGUCUUACUGAGGCCAGUCAAAUCACUGAGAGCUGAGGGUACUUUAAUGAGCUGGGGAUUGGGUCAAAUCCUGAUAAUGCUCUCAAGAAAUAAAAUCAGAUCAACUUUCUCAGUUAAUUUUGACAAGUAUUAUCUCACAGUUGAUAAACAGUCUGUACCUUUACGCCUCGUCCUAGGGAGAAAAUUUAAAUCUUGACAAAGCUUGUUUUUGGAUCUGGAUAUCUUAGAAGCUUUUUUUCCCCGCUAGAAAGGAUUUAAACUCCCUGUUGUGCCAAUCCCUCAUCAUUUGGCAUUCACCUCUGUUUGUUGUUUCAAUUUGUUCAUGUAGGUCCAAUACCAGUCAGCACUCAAGCACAUACUCUGUUUAUAAGCUCUUCCACAAGAAACACCUGGAAGAAUACCCACUUACAGGUCUGCCAGUUUGUGUGGAGAGUCAGUGCCUGAAGCAUUGUAACCUUAAUUAUUCUUAGUAAACGUAGUGAUGCUGUAAACAUCACAUUUUUCUCCUGUUGAGACAGACCAGAACUGAAAUCCUGCAAAAAAUUCUCUCUACUUCUAUUUGAGAAAUCUUCAACAUAAUUGGUCUGAGUCUAGAUUCAUUUAAACAGACCUUCAUGGUUAUUGAAGACAUAGACUUCAGACCAGCAUGACAGCCACAGAGCCUACAGUAAUCAGCACUUUUAUGUCUUCAGAAAGAAUGUGAUGAUUCUUCAUUAUUAUUCUACCAGAGUGGCAGCGGGGAUGUGUUUCAACCAGGGCACAGCUGCAUGAGGCCUCAUAAAACUCAUAGUAAAACAUAGACCAUUCCACAGAGAGCUUGCAGCACGUAGUGUUAAAAUGAGAUUAAGCCUGUAACAGCACAUCUGGUGUCCUCCUCCCCACAAUGAUGAGAGCAUAUCUGUUUUCUUCCACAAAGUAUGCCAAACGUAUCCUCCACCAUACUAGGGCCAGCUUCUUUAAAAAAAAAAUCAACAGCACAAUAAAACCUCCAAAAAAUCUCCAGUAACUAAACCAGUGUGUCAAAAUUUUAAAAAGGAAGGCUGAAAGCAGUAAAUACUCUGCUCCCUCACCUUUCAACUCACCUGAAACAUUAGCUUUCAGCCUGUUUUGAGCACUCCUCUGCACCUGCUAGUCAGCAAUUGCACCCAGAUGUUUUCCAUUGGCUGUGCCUGGGAUUCCCACACUCGGCAGUAUGGGAGGGCCCCAGAACAACUAGGGUGUAGCUGCAAACAAGUUCCUGACCUCUGUAAAAAGUUUACGUUAUUUACAAGAAACGGAGGAGGCUUUCACUCACAGUGCACCUUAGGUUCAGGGAAUGUGGGGCUGCCCUUUUCAUCUUUGGAAGCGGUUGGUACUCUCACUGAAUCUAAUUCACUUGGCUGUUUUCCAGACCUCUGCUCUGUGAGCUGUUCUGCUUGGGCAGGCAUACCUUGCUGCAUUUUGUGGUGGAUAGCGCAAUCAAACAAAUCAGACUGUCCUACAGUAGAGCGGAUACGUCUUCACGCUACAGACCUCAGAGAACUUUGAUACAGGGAUUGUUUCCAAGGUGUUCAAUGGCAUUUGUCCAACAGCAGAACAAAGACAGCAACAGAACUUCCAUUUCAUGUUUUUCACCAAAUCGUGGCAGGCUGAAGUGAAUUCAGUGCCCAUGGCUCAGCUCCUCUGUUGGGCUCCUCAGCCUUUGUAUGUAAGGCCAAUUCAAACCUAGGAGAUGAUGCUCAGAAAUUGUACUGAGAGGAGUAUCUGAAUGUGGGACUUUGGAGUGAAAAGUACUACUACAGGAAAGUAAAAUGCCAUCCCUUCCACAGCUGUGCUUCAGGCAAAGCCUGUCCUGGUUUUGCUGCCAUUUUUGUUGAUGAGAAAAUAAUUGAAUUUUUAUCAUCUGUCGUCUUUUUAAACUGAAGAAAUUUAAUUGGAAUGAUUGCCCAGUUAUUACUUUCUUUUUUUACAAGAGAUUUCUUCUGUAAAAUGCUUUGACAAAUAUUGACAGCAGUCACAGUAAAAUUUAAGGUGUAUGAAAAAUUUGCAGAAUUUCACCAUCCGUUUGCACAUCUUUCUGUCACUUCAGAAAGCUUCUCAGCUUAAACACUUGACAACUGACGGAGCUGCUAAACUUUUAGUGAAUGAGGACCAAAUAAAUAACUGCAAGGCCUGUAUCUGUGCACAUUCACAGAGCUGAAUUGUUCCGGAUGGACACCAGUGACUGGUGGAGGGAUGCUGGACUCAGCACAUAUCUAGGACAGCGAGCGUGCCAUGCCUGAUUCCUGCCAGCACCAGGACUUCAGCAGUAGGAAGACACUAGCAGCAUAAAUGUCAUUUAUACCUGCUGCAAGACCUCUGUGGAGUGAUAAUACAAAUGACAACCUGUCUCAGCCCUUCCCAAGGGCUGAGAGUUAUCACAGCAUAAGUUAGAAGAUAGAUUACAUCUUAUAACAAAACAGACUCGAAUACAACACAUGCAAGCAUCACAGUCUGUGCAGAAAGCAGAAGAGUGUUAUGCUGGGCAGAGGUAAAAAUAAGCAAGCUAAUCUCGAAUGACACUGGAAAAGAAAACAGCUGAAGGACUUUUCCUCUCUGUGAGUUUCGUGGUAAAUACCACUCAGUUUUCGGUAUCAUUAACAUUUUAUUAUUAUGACUACUAUUAGACAGCAUCCCCACCUACUUUUGCCUAUAUUUUCUGGGCAUGUCUCUGCAUUUUACAAGUUAGAGGUUGUGCUAGCAAUUGGAAAUAUUGUAUCAUCAUUUCAUUAUCACCCGGCUUGGAGAGAGGAUCACCCAGUAAUUGGGUUUUGUCCACGGAGAUAAUGCAAGGGAGGAGGCAGCUACAAACUCUUCUAUAGUCACUAUGAAACUACAUUUGUUUCCUUGAAGAACCAGCAAUGCUUCUCUGUAAAUUGAUCACAGCUUCGUUUUUUUCCUUGCUUCUCUUGAUUUGAAACAAUCCAACCUACCCUAUUUCUUGCAUGCCACAAGAGAUAUCACAGUCCUCUUUCUCUCCAAAUGACUCAGGGUCAAUGUAAUCUGAAAAACAGCUCUAACAAAACAAGCUCUUUGCAGAUAAAACCACAAGAACAAAAUCCAGUGUAAGUCUCCUCCAAAAAUUGUUUGCAUGUUUCCCUUUCCUUUACAUCUAUAUUUACUGGUAUGCAUAAGAGACAGCAUCCAGUUUUACUUGGAAACUCUUACAUAAAGAUGAGAAUGGGAACGUGAUAUGUCAGAGGUCACAUUUCAUCUACUUUGCCUGGAAGAGCUCUUACAAUAACUAUAAUUGGAAACAAAAGUGAAAAACAGCACUUAAUAAAAAUUACAUGGAAUCAGAUAGGAUGUGCAUGUGUUUGUGUGGGUAUUGGUCUCCUUGGCUAUCUUCAGUACUUUUUAAAAAACUGUACAAAAUUAUAAGCCAAACCCCUAAGAAUGGAUAAAUAAAAGAAUGAGAUGAGCCUGUUAACUU